AAAUUUCAAAACCAAAAACAUAAGCGGCCCCCUUCUCUUUUCCCUUUUUGUUUUAUCACCUCUGUUUCAAAGCAAAGACUUCACUUACAACGGCCUAUCUUUCAUUUUGACCCUUGUUUUCACUCUUAUCUACUUCUCAAAAAAAAAAAAAAAAAAAAUGGAGAACGUUUUUGCUGCAAAAGGAGAGAGAGAAAUCUCAAUGUGUGGAAGCAGAUACGUACAGUACAGCAUCCUUGGAAACCUUUUCCAAGUCUCUUCUAAGUACGUUCCUCCAAUUCAGCCCGUCGGUCGCUGCGCAUACGGCAUCAUUUGUAGUGCAACAAAUUCUGAGACAAAAGAACCGGUUGUUGUAAAAAGAUUACGAAUGCAUUUGAUAACAUAAUUGAUGCUAAGAGAACUCUCCGCCAGAUCAAACUCCUAGGCCACAUGGAUCAUGACAAUGACCUUGAAGAUGACUUAAUAUACAUCCUAACACAAAGGAUGUAAACUGAAGAAUGUGAAGGGGAAGGAGUUACGAAUCACUCAGCCAUUAAUUGCUUUAGGCAGUUACCAAGAAGAAGAAACUGACAUGAUCUACAUCCGAUAAUUCGCUCUAGCCAAGUUUUAACUGAUGAUCCCUGUCAGGUAAAUUGCUUUGUUAUCUUUCCUACUCAUAAACUAGUGGUUUAUCUAAUUGAAUGAGCUCUUUACAUCACAUUUUUGCUCCAUGGAGAAAAAAAUUAUCCACAUGGUGGGUCUGUAAGAUUGUUUCAAACAUCAACUUGUGAGAUGGCUUGCAAUAUUUUUGUGAGUAGUUUCAUAUCAAAUGACAAAGCUUAGUAAUGUUUUCAUAUACCGAAUGUAUAUUUGAUUUACGGGUUUAUCACAUCAUUUAAAGGAGACAUAGUUUCAUCCUUCAUUAACAUGACAAAUAAUUAUUUUUCAUGAUUGAUCCAUUUAGGCUGAGAAGAAGUAAAAUUUGUUGUAGAAAAGAUUAAAAAACUUGAUGCUCUUUCCUUACUCAUUCCAAGUGGAAGUUCUAAACAAACCUUAAGAGAUAACUCAAGCGACAGUGUUGCCUUCUAUGAGUUAUGUUUAUUUUAGUUUAAUGCACUAUUUCACCAUGCAAUUUCACUUAUGAUAUACACAUUCUGCUAUCAAAACCAUGUACAUAUGAAGCUUUUACUUCCGGCAUGUCAACAAGAUGUUUUGCAUCAAAUAUAGAAUUUUGGUCUAGUUAAAUUUAGCAUCUUCAUUUUGUUAUAAAAAAUGUCUAACUAGAUAUUAUGUUCUAAAGCAAAUCAUUUACACAAGUAUGCAGUUUUAAUGAUUUCCCUAUGCCAGUAGAUAAAACUGAUGGUAAUCUAUUUUCUAAGUGGGGAGGUUAAGUUCUUCUGAACAGAUAUAUGUUAUGUGUGUAUUAUAGUGUUUCAACACCACUUAGAGUUGGAAACAGAUUUUCACAUGCUGAAUUGCUCAACCAACUAUAUUAAGGUGGUUAAUACUGUUAUGUUGGAAAGAGAAGCCAGGUUUCGCACUAGAGGCUAAUAGUUCAUCCUUUCUUAUCCUUAAAUAUGAUCAAGGAGCGAAAAUUAUGUCUCGUUUUUCAUUCUUAUUGUCAAUUGUCAUUGCAUGAAUAUUGCAUUGCCAAAAUUAUGUCCAUUUGAUUCAUUGUUUAUUAUCUAGUUCAAAAUUCAUUGGAAUGGCUAAUUUCGUGAGUUAUGAUUCAUGAAUACAAAGCCAGGAGUCCAUCAGCUUAAUGGUCGGUGUAUGCGGAUAAUGCUCUGAAGACUCCCUGUUACAUUAGUCAACAGUCAACCCAGAUGAAAGGUGGGUUGAAGUGUGAACGGGGGUUUUACACCGGAGUUAGUCCAUCAGUAGUUUGAGUAAUCCACUGAGACUCGUGGACUAUCCGACCACGCUACCUCUUUCCUGGCCCAGUUAAGCCAGCUGUUUUCCUCUUCUUAGAUUCAGUAGACUGGAGACCGCCCUGAGGAGUAAGAUCUAUCAACAUAGAUGACAUCAUCAACCUUACGUAGUCGACCCGAUUGUCUCGCUCAAUACUUCGUCGCUAAGGUACUGCUCCUAUGAAUACGAACUCUUUCUAUUGCACACCACCGUUGCUUCUCUCACUUGUCUAGUGUUUCCCUCACAAAGCUCAGAACUGCAGUUUUCAAAACAGACUCUUUUGAGAAAAAAUGGAACACGACGGCUGUAAAAAGAGGUCACAGAGCCGGUUUCCACCAAAAAGAGGUGGAAUUCUCAUCGGCAUAUUGAAGUAUUUGGCCGGACUAAAAGGUGAAAGGAAAAAGGAAAGGUGUUGGUGAGCUUAGCUCAAGCUCAUCGACUCCAGCUUCAAUUCCUAGUUGUGGCUGGCUACAACUCCGAAUCUGAUGCUCCGUCUGAGUCUUGAUCACUAAUCACGCUUUUAAGGUAAAAUCAUAGCUGAUUUUGAUUUGGUUUUUAUAUAUACAUUUUAAUAAUUUUUUCUUCAUUUUUUGAACUUGUUGAUUAAAUUCAAGAGAAGGAAGGGGAAGAGGAUGGGAUUUUCUGGGAUUGGAACCCAUGUUUAGACCUGUAAUUAAAAAGUUGAUGAGAUGAUUAGAUUCCUCAUUGUGAUGUCUAAAUCUUAUAGCUGACAGAAAAUCUGUGCGUUUCUUUUUUAGGGUCUAAUCAUGGCUGAGCUGAAUGAUUUUGUUUUGAUUUAUAUUCAUAGUUGAAUAAUUUUUCUUCGUCUUCUUUAUAUGUUGAUUAAUGAAAGAGAAGGGAACUUGUUUAUUAAUGGCAAUGGAUUGUUUUUCUUUUUUAGA